CAACACAUCUGCACCUGUCUUCAACCACCUCAAACACACAUUGAUAUGAACCAUUUGAUAACAAACAUGCGGUUAUGAUACUAUUAUAAUCAGGCUGGGUAACAAUGGUUGAAGUGCUUUUCCUAUUUUCUCCACCAGGAGACUCUGUUUCUAUACACACAUUUAGAAAGAAGCUUCAUCUCAACUGACUUCUCUAAAGAUCUGCACUAGAGAGAACAUGGUGAUGUGGCAUCCUGCGAGAGACACUCAUAUCGCUGCUUCACCCAGGCAUCAUCAUUAUCUUCAUCAUCAUCUUCACCAUCAUGAACAGAGUUCUUCUCUAACUGGAAGCUGCCAUCUGACAUCAUGAUCGCACUCCUCAUCAGAUUUUCUGCCUCAUUACUUUGGACAGGACUUACUUAUGGGAAUGAUGUUACUCAGAGCCCCUUCAGACUCCAGAUUCUCAAGGACAAAGAUGUUCAGAUUGACUGUAGUCAUACUAAAGCAGCUACCUAUACAGAGAUGUAUUGGUACAGACAACUUCCAGGAGAAGGAAUCAAACAAAUAGUUCAUUCAAAUUCUUAUAGCAAUCCAGACUAUGGAGAAUUCAGUAAAGAGAAAUAUUCAGUUGUCAAGACAGAAGCACAGAGUGGAUCUUUCACAGUGAAGAAGUUGGAGACAGGAGACAGUGGAAUGUACUUCUGUGCUAACCAUCAACAUGAUCAAUCUUCUCAUACAUGUAGUAACUCUACUACUAUGGGUGACAGGACUGUCACAAACAGACCAAGUCCACCAGACUCCUACUGCAAUACUAAAACAACCUGGAGAUGAAGUCCAGCUGACCUGCAAC